rnacentral:rRNA from 1 species
UACGGGGGGGGCAAGCGUUGUUCGGAAUUACUGGGCGUAAAGGGCGCGUAGGCGGCCUUCUAAGUCGGACGUGAAAUCCCUCGGCUCAACCGAGGAACUGCGUCUGAUACUGGAAGGCUUGAAUCCGGGAGAGGGAUGUGGAAUUCCAGGUGUAGCGGUGAAAUGCGUAGAUAUCGUAAGGAAGACCAGUGGCGAAGGCGGGUCUCUGGACAGUUCCUGACGCUGAGGCACGAAGGCCAGGGGAGCAAACGGG